AAUACAAAUCACCCUACACACAUUGGUUUGCUCGCCAAUUUCAGAAAAUACAGUAUAUGAAGAAAUUUUAACAGCACACAAAAAGAAAGCCACGUGAAAUUUAUCAGAUGCUAUACAUUAUCCAAAAAGAGGGAAAUAAAUCACCAAAAAACCCACUUCAGCCAACAUAUCGGAAAAUAUGCACCAAAAUAACAUAAGUAGGACACAAAUAAAUAUACUUUCAGUUUUGCUAUAUACAUUUUCAUCGAGGGUAAAUCAAAAUAACCUUCCCAAAAUGCAACUGCCAAAUGCUUGUGCUUGCAUUCGAGUGUGCUACAGAUGGCCACGACUCACUACACUGUCAAAUGGCACUUGAAACAUCCAAAUACAAAUCUCAAAGAUUACAGCCUCCAGAAAAUAGCAUUUGACAAAAGAACAUCUUCAGAGCAUUUACAACUCUUGUUUUUUUUUUCCCCUCUCCAAUC